AUUGAACGCUGGCGGAAUGCUUUACACAUGCAAGUCGAACGGCAGCACGGGGGCAACCCUGGUGGCGAGUGGCGAACGGGUGAGUAAUACAUCGGAACGUGCCCAGUCGUGGGGGAUAACGUAGCGAAAGCUACGCUAAUACCGCAUACGAACUGAGGUUGAAAGCGGGGGAUCGCAAGACCUCGCGCGAUUGGAGCGGCCGAUGGCAGAUUAGGUAGUUGGUGGGGUAAAGGCCUACCAAGCCGACGAUCUGUAGCUGUCUGAGAGGACGACCAGCCACACUGGGACUGAGACACGGCCCAGACUCCUACGGGAGGCAGCAGUGGGGAAUUUUGGACAAUGGGCGCAAGCCUGAUCCAGCCAUUCCGCGUGCAGGAUGAAGGCCCUCGGGUUGUAAACUGCUCUUGUACGGAACGAAAAGGCCUGGGUUAAUACCCUGGGCUGAUGACGGUACCGUAAGAAUAAGCACCGGCUAACUACGUGCCAGCAGCCGCAGUAAUAC
rnacentral:rRNA from 1 species